UGGGGAAUAUUGGACAAUGGACCAAAAGUCUGAUCCAGCAAUUCUGUGUGCACGAUGAAGUUUUUCGGAAUGUAAAGUGCUUUCAGUUGGGAAGAAGAAAGUGACGGUACCAACAGAAGAAGUGACGGCUAAAUACGUGCCAGCAGCCGCGGUAAUGCGUAUGUCACAAGCGUUAUCCGGAUUUAUUGGGCGUAAAGCGCGUCUAGGCGGUUAAUUAAGUCUGAUGUGAAAAUGCGGAGCUCAACUCCGUAUUGCGUUGGAAACUGGUUAACUAGAGUACUGGAGAGGUAAGCGGAACUACAAGUGUAGAGGUGAAAUUCGUAGAUAUUUGUAGGAAUGCCGAUGGGGAAGCCAGCUUACUGGACAGAUACUGACGCUAAAGCGCGAAAGCGUGGGUAGCAAACAGGAUUAGAUACCCUGGUAGUCCACGCUGUAAACGAUGAUUACUAGGUGUUGGGGGUCGAACCUCAGCGCCCAAGCUAACGCGAUAAGUAAUCCGCCUGGGGAGUACGUACGCAAGUAUG
rnacentral:rRNA from 1 species